GGAGUCUGGUCCGUGUCUCAGUACCAGUGUGGGGGACCUUCCUCUCAGAACCCCUACUGAUCGUUGCCAUGGUGGGCCGUUACCCCGCCAACAACCUAAUCAGACGCAUCCCCAUCCCUUAGCGGUGAACCUUUGCUUUCCAUCAGAUGCCAUCCAGAAAGAACAUAGAGUAUUAAUCCGACUUUCGCCGGGCUAUCCUCUACUAAGGGGAAGGUUGGAUACGCGUUACUCACCCGUGCGCCGGUCGCCAUCACAGGUAGCAAGCUACCUGCAUGCUGCCCCUCGACUUGCAUGUGUUAAGCCUGUAGCUAGCGUUCAUC
rnacentral:rRNA from 1 species